GUUAUCAAGAAAGGUCGAGGGAUUAGACCCUAUGACGCCUUAGCAACCCUUAAUUCGUUAAGAAGGUGCUAAAUUCUACUGAUUCGUUUAUACCUAAUCAGAUAGAUAA
rnacentral:ncRNA from 1 species